CAGAAAGUAAUGAUCUAUUACCAAAAUGCUGUAGAAACAAUACCUACAGCUCCCCAGUGGAAUGAAUAGCAGCUAGGUAACUCAACCCCUCUCUGAUGUCACCACGGGUAACUGAGACCUGGAGACCGACUGGAGCUGCAUCCGUGGAGCUCGAGCCUACCGAGACACGCCUCCACCGGCCACAAAUUCCGUUACUCGGGGAAAAACGGAUUUGACAACAUGGCGCACUUUCUGGGAAAUAACUUUAGUCAGUUCGCGGCCGGUAGAGUGGGAAUAUCGCAUGAUUGUUCACUUUUGGUUGGAGAAUAGUUGGAGUUCCAUCCUACUACAUUGUUGUGUGAGAUCGCACUGUUUCUCUGUCCUGUUUGGGAAGCGGACUGCAUGGGAUGAAAGUUUUAAGUUGCUGCCGCUGGGUAUAAAACUAGGACAGGAUGGAGAAACAUCGACCGAAGAAAGAAAGGUUCUCUCUCUUCGGCCCUCGCUCUUCUACCCGAGCCACCAACCCUCCCUCUUCCUCCUCUUCGUCCUCUACCUCUGCUCGCCCCAUCCCUCCCCCUCUCUGCCAGACAGACCCUCAUCCUUGCAUCCCUCCCGGGCCUCCUAUCCUUUCUAAGGCAGAGUUUCUGGAGGCAGUACGUCGCAGUAACCAGGCAUGCCAACGGGGGCAGUACAGCCUGGCAGUGCAGCUCUACGGCGAGGCCCUGUCUGCUGACCCUCAGAACUGCAUCCUGUACAGUAACCGCUCUGCGGCCCUUCUCCACCUGGGACAGUACCAGACCGCCCUGGACGACGCCCUCAAAGCCCGUCUGCUUAACCCCAAAUGGCCCAAGGCAUACUUCCGUCAGGGUGUGGCCCUGCAGUACCUUGGUCGCCAUGCCGACGCCCUGGCAGCGUUUGCCUCUGGUCUGGCGCAGGACCCCAAGAGUCUCCAACUUCUGGUGGGCAUGGUCGAGGCUGCCAUGAAGUCCCCACUACGAGACUCUCUGGAACCCACCUACCAGCAGCUGCAGAGGAUGAAGCUGGACAAGAGUCCAUUCGUGGUGGUGUGUGUGAUUGGUCAGGAGCUGCUGACCGCUGGUUACCACGGCGCCUCAGUGGUGGUCCUGGAGGCAGGGCUAAAGAUCGGCACAUGCUCUCUGAAGCUCCGAGGUUCAGUGUUCUCUGCUCUUAGCUCAGCCUACUGGUCGCUAGGCAACGCAGAGAAGAGCACAGGAUACAUGCAGCAAGACCUGGAGGUGGCCAAGACGCUAGGUGACCAAUCAGGCGAGUGCCGAGCUCACGGGAACCUAGGCUCUGCCUACUUCUCCAAGGUCAACUACAGGGAGGCUUUGACCAAUCACAGGCAUCAGCUGGUCCUCGCCAUGAAACUCAAGGACAGAGAGGCUGCGUCCGCUGCGCUGAGCAGCCUUGGCCAUGUGUACACAGCGAUAGCGGACUAUCCUAAUGCCCUGGCCAGCCAUAAGCAGUGUGUGCUGUUGGCACGGCAGACCCAGUGCCUGCUAUCAGAGGCUCGCCAGCUGGGCAACAUGGGCGCUGUCUACACCGCACUGGGAGACUUCACCAACGCUAUGCAGUGUCACCAGCAACACCUGGAUAUAGCUAAGACCCUGGGUAAUGGUCCUGAGGAGGCGCGGGCGUACAGUAACCUGGGCAGUGCCCACCACAGCCAGAGAGACUUUGACAAGGCUGUGUCCUACCACACCCUGGUGCUGCAGCUGGCUCAGGAGCUGGAGGACAGGACUAUACAGAUGAGGGCUUACGCCGGCCUGGGACAUGCUGCUCGCUGCAUGCAGGACUUGGAGAGGGCAGGCCAGUACCACCAGCAGCAGCUGGACAUAGCGGAGGAGCUGCAGGACAGAGCUGCACAGGGACGAGCUUCAUCCAACCUGGGUAUAAUCCACCAGAUGAAGGGGGAGUACGAUGCAGCGUUGAAGCUCCACAAGGCCCACCUGUGUUUGGUCCAGGAGCUGGGGGACUAUGCUGCUCAGGGCAGGGCCUAUGGGAACAUGGGAAAUGCCUACAACGCUCUGAGGAUGUACGACCAAGCUGUACGCUACCACCGGCAGGAACUGCACAUAUCACUCGAGAGCGCUUUGGGGACGUACGACCAGGCUGUACGGUAUCAUAGAAAUGCCAUGACUAGAGCUGACGUGAUUCCUUAUUUUAUAUACCAAAGAGGUAUGUUUGUUCUGCAUCAUACAUUUGUAUCUGAACGUUGGCCAACGUUGUGUCCUGUGAAUGACCGUCCCUCCCAGGCCUCUACUCAUGGUAACCUGGCUGUAGCCUAUCAGGCGCUGGGUGCUCACGACCAGGCUCUCCAGUAUUAUGAGCAGGAUCUGGCCCUGGCUAAAGACCUGGGUGAUAAAUUGUCCCAGGCUAAAGCCUACUGUAACCUGGGUCUGGCCUACAAAGCCCUGGGGGAAUAUAGCAAGGCUGAGGACUGUCAGAGAUACCUGCUGUCCCUGGCUCAGGCUCUGAACAACACUCAGGCAGUGUUCCGUGCCCUGGGAAACCUGGGGGAUGUGUGUGUGUGUCGGGGUGACGUGGCCGGGGCGGUGAGGUUCUACCAGCAGCAGCUCACCCUUGCUCAGGAGGUCAAAGGACACAAGAUGGAGGCUGACGCCUACUCAGCGCUAGGCUCUGCCCACAGACUCCUCCGUCAGUACGACCUGGCCCUGUCCUUCCACCAGCAGGAGCUGUCUGCCCGCACCGCUCUAGACGACCAGCGGGGGCAGUGUGGUGCUCUGGGCCGCCUGGCAGCCGUCCACAUGGCCCUGACAGACUACCCCACAGCCUUCCAGUGUUACCAGGCCCAGCUGACCCUGGCACAGGGCCUCAGAGAUGCCUGCGUGGAGGCACAGGUCCAGGGCAACAUGGGCAUCGCCAAGAUGAACAUGGGUGUCCUGGAGGAGGCCAUUGGAUAUUUUGAGCAGCAGUUGGCCAUGCUGGAGCAGCUGAGUGGGGCUGAGUGUGUGCUGGACAGAGGCAGGGCCUACGGGAACCUAGCAGACUGUUAUGACUCUCUGGGAGACUUUGAGGAAGCUAUAAAGUACUGUGAGAUGUUUCUGACUGUGGCUCAGAGUCUCAACCAUGUUCAGGACCAGGAAAGAGCCUACAGGGGACUGGGCAACGCACACAGAUCUCUAGGUAGUCUCCAGCAGGCGUUGGUGUGUUUUGAGAAGCGUCUGGUGGUGGCCCAUGAGCUGGGUGGAUCGGGAGGUGGAGAGGGAGAAAGUGGAGGAAGGAAAGCCCAGGCCCAGGCAUAUGGGGAGCUGGGAGACCUACACAGCCAGCUGGGGAAUUAUGAACAAGCCCUAUCCUGCCUGGAGCAUCAACUUAACAUCGCCUCCACCGCAGGGGACCGAGCACUAGAGGGCGAAGCGAGCGGGGCGUUGGGUGGAGUGUACCAGCUGAUGGGAGAGAACGAGACAGCUCUACAGUGGCACCAGAGGGCAUUAGAGAUUGCGGAGGAAACAGGAAGUGUGAGGAGUCAGGGGAGGGCCUACGGGAACCUGGGGUUGACCUAUGAGGCGCUGGGAAACUACGAAAGGGCCGUGGCCUGUCAGGAGCAGCACCUGAGUGUGGCAGCGCAGAAUAAUGACCUCACAGCCAAGACACUGGCGUACGGCAGCCUGGGGAGGACACACCAUGAGCUACAGAACUACACACAGGCUGUCAUGUACCUGCAGGAAGGUCUGCGUUUAGCAGAGCAGUGUGGGAGGAGAGAGGAGGAGGCUAGGAUCCGUCAUCGUCUGGGCCUGUCACUGUGGGCCAGCAGCAACCUGGAGGAGGCCCAGAACCAGCUGUACCGAGCGUCUGCCUUGUUUGAGUCGAUUCGUCAUGAAGCCCAACUCAAUUCAGACUACAGGCUGACUCUGUUUGACCUGCAGACAUCAUCAUACCAGGCUCUCCAGAGGAUCCUCGUCAGCCUGGGUCAUUAUGACGAGGCCCUAGCAGUGGCAGAGCGGGGUCGGACCCGGGCGUUCGCCGACCUCCUGGUGGAGCGACAGCAGGGUCACCAACCCCUGACCUCUGACCCUUAUACCCCGACCCCUGACCCUUACUCCCCGGUAACCGUAGAACACAUCCUGGAUACGGUCAACAGUCAAAAGUCACUGGUGCUGUACUUCUCUCUGGCCGCAGGGUACCUCUACAGCUGGCUACUGGCACCAGGCACAGGUAUAGUGAAGUUCCACGAGGUGUACCUGGGUGAGGGAGGAUCCGAGCUGCAGGCCUCAGAGAUCCAGGGGGGAGGAGUUAGUGGCUGCCAGUCUCUGGAGCAGCACAUCACUGCAGCUAGAGAGGCUCUGGGAGUAGACAACUACUACAGCAGGUAUGUGUGUGUCUUAGGUGAGACAGAGAGCGAAGCGGGGGAUCUGUUGGAACAGCAGUUUGAGGAACGGCUGAGCUCAGCUAGCGACCCUACAGGCUACCUACGUAUGGUUUCCAGAAACAACCUCUUCAACAGGAGUUCUGGUCUGGUCAGUUCUACAGUGUCUCCAGUGAGCGAGACCUCCUCCCCCUCUCUACCCUGUAGACCCCCACCCACCCCCCUCGUCAAACCCCCCCUCCGAGCACUUCACCACCUGCUCAUUGCACCUAUGGAGGGGGUGCUGAUGCCCGGCAGUGGUGCAGUGGGCAGACACAGACAGUUGGUGUUGGUGUUAGAGGGAGAGCUGUACCUGGUUCCCUUCGCUCUGCUCAAAGGUAGCUCGUCUAAUGAGUACCUGUAUGAGAGGUUCAACCUUCUGGCUGUCCCAUCUAUAGGGAGCCUGGGGCCUGUAGCCAAGUCCUACCCUCGUCGCGGGGCCCCCUUCCUCUACAGCGGUGGGGGUUCCAUGACUGCAGUGGUAGGGGCUCCACGCCUGCCCUCCAGGGUGAUGGAGCGUUGGCUGUGGGGUCCGCUGCCCUCUGCCCACGACGAGGCCCUCCGCCUGGGGGAACUGCUGGGCUGCCAGCCCCUCACUGGAACACAGGCCACCAAGGACCGUGUGAUAGCAGCCAUGGGCCAGGCAGAGUGUGUUCACGUUGCUACUCAUGUCUCCUGGAAGCUGGCGGCCCUGGUUCUCUCCCCCAGCCAGGAUCCAGGGAUGGACUCGGGAACACGGCCCAAGGAGAGUGCACCUGUGUGUGACGCAGAGAGUGUUUGUGACAGUCCACCACUUCAGGAGUUUCUGCUCACUGCGGCAGACAUACUGGACCUGAGACUGCCUGUCAAACUGGUGGUGCUGGGGUCGUACCAGGAGUGUGUUAGCAGGGUGACAGCUGACGGGGUUGUGGGUCUGACCCGUGCCUUCCUUGCGGCGGGGGUGCAGUGUGUGUGUGUGUCACUGUGGCCCGUUCCCAUGGCAGCCUCCAAGGUGUUCACACACACCUUCUACACGGCGCUGCUGAAUGGGACCAAGGCCAGUGCAGCUCUCACUGAGGCCAUGAAGACUCUACAGAGCAGCACACACUUCUCACACCCUUCUAACUGGGCGGGCUUCAUGCUGAUUGGCUGUGAUGUGAAGCUGAACAGCCCCUCGUCUCUGAUUGGCCAGGCUCUGGCAGAGAUCCUCCAAUACCCUGAGAGGGCUAGAGACUCCCUGAGAGUACUUUUGCACCUGGUUGAGAAGUCUCUCCAGCGUAUACAGAGUGGUCAGAGUAAUGCUAUGUACACCUUGCAGCAGAGUGUGGAGAACAAGGUUGGUGGUGUACCGGGAUGGCAGGCCCUGCUGUCAGCCGUGGGGUUCCGGUUAGACUGUCCCGGUACCGGCAGUGGUCUCCCCGCUGCUGUCUUCUUCCCUAUGGCCGACCCUGGAGACCGGCUGCAGCUCUGCAGCACCACUCUGCAGUCAUUACUAGGUCUGCCUCAUUCAGCAUUCCAGGCCCUUUGUAAACUGGUCAUUGCUGCUGAGACUGGAGAACAGCUAAUCAACAAGGUAGGCCUCAAUCUUCACCAGGUAUUGGUUCAGCAACAGACAUGUGACAAGGAGCAGGAGUUCUCAUUGGCUCCCAUCCAGGUGUCCAUUAGUGUCCAGCUGUGGAGACUUCCUGGUUGUCAUGAGUUCCUGGCUGCGCUGGGUUUUGACCUAUGUGAGGCAGGACAGGAGGAGGUGCUAUUGAAGACGGGUAAACAGGCUUGCAGACGGACAAUGCACUUUGCUCUGCAAUCUCUACUGGCACUGUUUGACUCCACAGAGCUCCCCAGACGCCUCAGCCUGGACAGCUCUUCAUCUCUAGAGUCUCUCUCCUCCUCCCAGUGUGCCUCCCUCCCCCUUAACCUCCCCCAGCCUCCCUUCUCGCCAACGCUUGGCGGCCCAGACAGUCUCUCAUGCGACGCCAUCUCCCUCUACAGCCUCAGCUCCCUCGCCUCCUCUCUCAGCUUCCUGUCCCGCCCCGAACCCGCAGGAAGUGAUGGCAUCAGCCAGCGUUCACGGCAGCAGGAACUGGAGCGGCACCGCGGAGGAGUCUCUCACCGACACACAGGAGGUGUGUCGAGAAACAGAUUAACGAAUCACAGAGGAGUAGGCGGAGGGACAGAGGGGGAGGAUAAGUAUGAAGGAUUCUCUAUCAUCAGCAGUGAGCCUCUGGGAGGAGGGGGAGGAGGGGGGAGGGAGUGCGCGGCAGGGAGGGGGUACCCCGUCUCGAUCUCCUCCAAGGGGAGUGUCAGCACUCCCACCUCACCGCUCAAAGUCCCCCCCUUGUCUGAAGGUCAGGUGGUCAGUACAGAGGCGGUCCUCUCUGAGUCUGACCAGUCCAGUACAGAGACAGACAGCACCGUCAAGUCCCAGGAAGACAAGCCACCCCUCACCCCUCUGGACCCCCAGGAGCUGGCCACCAGGAUCCUGGAAGAGACCCAGAGCCACAUGCAGGCUUUGGAGAGCCUCCAGAGGGGGAGGACAGGAAGGGUAGCCCCCCUGACCCCCACUGGAGGUGGUUUGGGCUUCCGUUCGUCUGAGACCAGCGCCCGGGCUUCACCUCUCUCCCUCUCCAGCCCUCUCUCACCCCUCCCUGCCACUCUCUCACCCAUCUCCACCCCUCUCUCACCCCUCCCUGCCACUCUCUCACCCAUCUCCACCCCUCUCCUCUCCACCAGGCCCAAACCCCCCUCUCGUUGCUCGUCCUUACAGAAGAUCAGCUCCGGCUACAACAGCCCGGCCCUAUCCUCCGUCUCUUCCUCCCUCUCUUUCUCUCACCCCUCACCCUCCAGAACCCCAGACCCCCACAUCCAUGCGCAGCUCAGACUUAAAUACCCCAGCUCCCCUUACACCCCCCACAUCUCACACUCCCCCAAUACCCUCUCCCUGGCCCCCUCCCCUGCCCUCUCCUACUCCUCUACAGGCUCUACCGCAUCCCGCUCCAGCCCGGCAGGCCUGGUCGACGAGAGGGUCCAGGCCAUCCACAACCUGAAAACCUUCUGGUCCAAUGCCACCCAGAGGCAGGAGGUUCCCGGCCCAGGCAGAGUGCUCCGAGAUGGGGGGAAGAAGAUGAGCACGGUCCAAAAAGAUGUCCUGGGGCUUCUCCACCUCUCUCCAAGACAUGGGUCCACCAACAAGAACCAGGACGCUGAAGGGCCCCAGAGCCCCACCAACCCGCUUAACGGACAUCGAAUGCUGGGUUCAAAACCACCAGUGGCGCCUCCUCCUCAGACUGCUACUGACUCCUCCAGGAGAGGUUGUCCUGGAGCACCCCCACACCCUGUCAAACUGCCCUCUGGGAAUGGCUUCAAGUUCCCCUCGCCUGGGAAGUUCUUCCCCUCCUCUAAAUGCUGA
rnacentral:lncRNA from 1 species